CCCGCUCUGUCUCCCCCACCCCUGCAGGGCAUCCUCAGGAAAACUGGCUGCUGCUACUCCUGUGAGGAAGUGGACUCCUGCCAAGUCCGGGUCAACAGGACGGUCCUGAAACACCAGGGCUGCGCCACCCAGGCCCCGGUCAACGUCACCUUCUGCGAGGGCUCGUGCCCAGGAGUGUCCAAGUUCUCCAUGGAGGCCCAGGCCAUGCAGCGUCAGUGCACCUGCUGCCAGGAGACAAGGGUUCACGACGAGGUGGUGACCAUGCAGUGUCCCGAUGGGACAGCGGUCCAGCACACCUACACCCACGUGGACGAGUGCAGCUGUGCUGCGUCCUGCGUCCCUGCUCCCGAGGCUCCCGAGGACAGCACCCCCAUCUUCUCGAUCUAGGGGUCCACCACUGGCUGUUGCCAUUCUGACCCCAUCCCACAAGCUCCCUCCCUCCCCCUCCGGAGCCAGAACACUCACUACCCAACCGCGGACAGCCGGGCCAGCCUGCUGCGGGAGUCCGAGCACACCCUCCACCCGUGCCCUCGCGACACCUGCGCCCUGGAGGUGGUGGCGCCAUGACGGCCUGCCUGAGGGGGGCUCCAGGAGGGGGCCCUGCCCUCGGAGCCCCUUCAGCACGUCUUGGCCGCCUGCCUGGCCAUCAGGGCCGACCCCUCAUUUGAGACACAGGCGCCUGCUCCGUCCGGACUCGCCCCCUUCUUGGUGUCAGAGGUGUGCCCCGUAGCAAAGCGCGCAUCAGCUGCCAUGCUGCUCCCCGCACUGUGGGCCUGAGUGCCCCCCUCCUGCCCCCCGCUGCUCCUCAAAGCCCUGGGGAACAGAUUCCUGCUGGCCACCUCCUGCGGCAGAAUUCGGGCUGAGGCCCGUCCAGGCAAGGCCAGGCCGGCAGCCUCCAGGGAGCGGUGCCAGGCAGGCCCAUGUCUGGACCCAGGCGUGGGGUUACCGUGGCCGACAGGAGGGCCCCGGGCAGGGGUGGGGGGCGUCGGAGCUCCCGCUGCUCCCCCCCCCCCCCCCCCGAUCUUGCAAAUAAACGCUGAGCAUUGUGUACACGUCUUGGCCCUGGAGUCUUUUCCGCCAACUGAGUGCCCCCCUCCGUGUGUCUGUGGGCCAGGCAGGGCCCCUCCGGCUGUAUAGCACCCCCAGGGCUCAUGCCGGACCCGCUGGGAGGGACAGGUGGGUGAGGGGCAAGGAGGCCCCUCGGGGUCAGUCUUGGGCUGUGGGGAAUUGGCUGGGGCCAGGCGUGAGUCGUCAUUUCGAACACACGGGAUUUAUAAGGAGACUGUUUCACUGGUGUCGGAAGACUGGAAAACCCGCUGGCAGCGUGGACGCAGCCCAGGGCCGUGUCAGCGCAGGCAGUAGCUGCCU